rnacentral:rRNA from 1 species
GACGAACGCUGGCGGCGUGCUUAACACAUGCAAGUCGAACGGAAAGGCCCUGCUUUUGUGGGGUGCUCGAGGGGCGAACGGGUGAGUAACACGUGAGUAACCUGCCCUUGACUUUGGGAUAACUUCAGGAAACUGGGGCUAAUACCGGAUAGGAGCUCCUGCUGCAUGGUGGGGGUUGGAAAGUUUCGGCGGUUGGGGAUGGACUCGCGGCUUAUCAGCUUGUUGGUGGGGUAGUGGCUUACCAAGGCUUUGACGGGUAGCCGGCCUGAGAGGGUGACCGGCCACAUUGGGCCUGCGAUACGGCCCAGACUCCUACGGGAGGCAGCAGUGGGGAAUAUUGCACAAUGGGCGGAAGCCUGAUGCAGCAACGCCGCGUGCGGGAUGACGGCCUUCGGGUUGUAAACCGCUUUCGCCUGUGACGAAGCGUGAGUGACGGUAAUGGGUAAAGAAGCACCGGCUAACUACGUG